UAUUGCAAUGAUCCAUCAUUCAUGUAGGCGACAGGGUCUAGUGCAUUUGGGAUAGAGUGACCAGUCGAGAGCCGAUGAACGUGACAUUCGAAAAAUAUAUACUAUUCUACAGUGAUAAAAGGAUGACAUCAUGGAAUUGUUCACAUAGUUUAAGACAUCAUUAGUCGUGGACGAAGAGAAUUCUUUCAGCCUAUGAAACGACUAGAGUUCUAGUGACCGGCUCAUCAAGCUGUAUUCUUCAAAACCGUUGAAGCUGAAUAUCCCUUAGUCUCAGCUGACAGAUCAACAAGACCACCGGCGCUGACAAUCAGAGGAUUUUUUAUGGCACCGAGGAAUAUUUUCACAUUAUUCCGAAAUAUUGUGUCCCGAUAAUACCAGUGUGAAGCAUACAGUGAGUCACUC